rfam:Triticum aestivum genome assembly, contig: Triticum_aestivum_CS42_TGACv1_scaffold_320741_4BL
UUGCUGUUGGUGAAGAACUCAGACCAGGAAGUGCCGUAUGGCACUCUAAAUAGCAGCUGCUCUGCCGCUGUAAGUGGUCCAUCCCUGUAUCAUAACCUCUGGUUUUUUAUGGGGUGGAAAUCCCAUUUGCAACCGCUUUUUUCAGCCGUGUGAAUUAUUUGAAACGGGUGUCUGAGGGCAA